rnacentral:misc_RNA from 1 species
UCAAAUGGUUAUCCUAGGAACAUGAAUUUCUAAUAUUUUUGUUAUGAAACAAAAAAAGGAGAUAAAUAAAACUACAAUUAUUGGUAAUGGACCUCAUCAAUUCUCUAGUUCUAGAUUAUUUUGGUUUCUUAGUUAAGACAAAGUACAUGAGAGAAAUUUCACUAUUUUGACAAAUAUUGUAGUAUGUAGCAAACAAAAACACAAUAGCUCAUGGAAACAAAAGUUUCAUUUAUGAGUUAACCAUGAAACUCUGAAAGUGAAGAUACAAAAGGCAUACUUCUAAAAGAAAUGUAUGUGUUUCCCAAAUGGUUAUACUAGGAAUAUGAAUUUCAAAUUUUUUUGUUAUGAAACUAACAUGUGAAUAUAUUUCGCUGCUUAUUUCACUUUUGCAUGUAACACAUGUUUAAAAAGAGUGGGACUAGACUUGCAUUAACUGCCUUCAAAGUUCAAUGAAUCACAUGUUCAAUAAAUAGUCAUUCAAAUAUUUCAUCUUCCAUUACAAUUUGUUAGUUUUAUAUGUAUAUUUUUGAUUUUGAGAAAAUGUAUCAAAUCUUCCAAUUCAAUUUGGCUCUCAAUUCUUGAUUCAUGAAAUUAGGUUUUCAUUCACAAUUCAAAUCCAAAUUUAGUAACUAUGCUUAUGAGCUCAGCAAUUUAAUAAAUUUGAAAGGUCAAUAUAAGCAAUCUGUAGAUCGUUAACUGUUGGUGACACUGAUUCCAAACAUGCAAACAAAGGUUUUUUUUAUCCCCCUUUUACAUGAGUAAUGCUGAUCUCAAACCAAUCUCUAUCUGACAAAAAAUGGUGAUGGAACAACAUGAGAAAAGGGUGAACAAAUGAGAAAUAGAAAGUAGGAGGAAGAAAUGUUUCAAUAUUAUCUUCAGCCCUUUGAAACUGCCUUGUCCAAGUUUUCAAUUCUUGUACCAAACAGAUAUUUCACACUCAUGUCCAUGUCUUGUUACAUUGAUAUGGGUACCAAAUCAAAAUGCUGAGUCCAAGAAACAUGGUUGGUGGUAAUUUAUCAUUUAAUCAUCAAAGAUCAAGAGAGUAAGAGAGAAGUAGCAAAAGCUUUUCCAAGGGAAUUUUCAAACAAUACAUCUCAAAAUUUAGUUUUAUGGGUAACAACUUAUAACAAAUCACCCUCCAAAUUUACCCUUCCGACAAACAAAAAAUUUUAUCAUUGAGCAAGGCUGUUGUAUUGACAUCAAUCCCAGAUGAAACAUCUUCCAAACUAAAAGUUAUUUCACCACAAUCUUUGCAACAAAAUCAACCAUGGAUUACCAAUUUUUUGGGUUAGAAUUUGAUUUGAAAAUUAAAACCAAAACAUCAUAUACUCUAAGCUAGAAUGAGCCAUUACAUCCCUGCAAAACAGCAUGUUCAACUUUCUUACAAUUAGGAAAAAGAUGGGAUAAUUUCAUCCAUGGAUAGGGGACUUAUCACUGAGUUUCAGCAAUCUGACUUAAUAUCGAUUUGUCAUGUAAAAAUCAUUUUAGUUUGUGUUUCAACAAGGUCCGUAUGGCCACAUUAAUGUCAAAAUUUGGCUGUAUCAUUUUAUGUCAUGACUCAUGACCAAAUAAAAGGAUCUUAUGGUCCACCUUCAAUUUUAGAACUCGCUUAAUACAAUAUUUGCUUAACUAUUACAUCAGAAAUAUGACUAAAUUUUUAUACGAAUAUAAUGAAAAUAACCUUAAUGAAGUACAAACUAAAGUUCCAAUUUUGAUGUGACAAAUUGAAGUUUUAUGGUUGCAUUCGAAUUUGGUGAAAGCUUUGGCGAAAUGGAUAAUAAUGACAAGUUACUAUAUUUAUACAUGUAAAAAGCAUUUAUCAAAUUUUAUAUGUCAAAACCUUUAGCUAUCCUAUAUGAAACCUACGCCACAAAGCAUGCCUAACUAAUCAUCUGUCCAAAGCAAGAAAAAAACAGCCUAGUGAUAGAGACAAAAUGAACUUGAUUUGAGUUAGUAUCAGAAAAGCAUACUCUAAUAUCAGAAAUACAGGAAUAGAACAUCAAGGUUGAAAAUGUUUUUCUCAAUUGUCCAAAACUAGCAAAAGAUUAUGGCCCUGCAGCCAUUUGUUUUAGAAACAAAAAGAUUUUUGUAUUAACACUGCUCUAUAAAGCUAGCCAAGCAUUUUCACAUUCAUUGCAUUUUGUUAGCUUCACCUAUCCUCAUCAACUAGCUGCAUCUACAUCAUGUUUAGUGGGAGGUUAAUACGCUUACGAUGGUUGAUAGCUCAUAAACUUAUGUUUUCCAUCCAAAAGCAACGUGCAUUUCCUUGCUAUCUGAUUGCCUGCUCCAAAACUGUAAUUGGAAUUAAAAACUAAUUCGCUUUAACUAAUAGAUAGACACAAAUUUGGAGACCUAUAUUUUAUAUGCUGGAAGAAAUAAAGUAGCAUUGGACAUACACUCUCUAGAUCAUUAUUUUCUUCAUUCACAAUCAGCAUUCUUAUAAUACUUUUGCUUUAAAAUUACAAUAAAAUGAAAAGGCAAGAACAUAGACGAGAGUGGAAGUGUCAGCGUCCAGCAGUGCACAUACAUGGGGACAGAUAGGUAGUUGGCAGAUGGAUAGAUAGAUAGAUAGAUACAAAUUCAAAUAUAUAAAAAGGGAGAUAAAAUUACGCACCUCAGCUUCCUUCUGAGCCUGCUCAACUAUAGCCAAACAUCUUUGUAACUCCUUGAUCUUCUCUUUCUCUCCUGCAAUCUCAUCUUGCAAUUUAGUUUUCUGUUUCUCCCAAGCCAAAAGCUUCUUCAGACACUUCUUCUCCCUUUUUGCAACCUCCAAACAAGUAGUCACCGACUCUGAUGCACUUAACUUAGAAGCCUCCAUUUCUGCUCUGAUUUCUGCAUUCUCAGUCUCAAGCCGUCUCACAGCUGCAUUUGCCCGGUCCACUUGACCACUUGCCUUCCUCAAAGCAUUUUCCACCUCUGACAGCCUCUUCAUUGUUGAAUCCUCAAGAGUUUGUUUCCCCUUCUUCAAUCUCUGUGUCUCCUCCCUCUCCAUUUUCAAUAUUUUAAGCUCCGUUAAGUCACUACUAAGCUUUCUUGCAGCUUGCAUUGCCUUCUGCUGUGCCCACUCCUUCCGUUCCUUUACUUGUCUCUCUAAAUCCUUAAUCUGAUGAAGCAGGGUCACUAUCAUCUCAUCCUUCUGAUCUUCUCCUGUAAGUUCCAAAUUUUCAUCAAGAUUCAAAUCACCAAACUUACUUAAUUCUGAAAAAAGCCCAUCUUGGAACUUAUUCCACCCUGUACUAGCCCCAUCUUGGUUCUUCAAAUUUUGAGACUCCUCACCCUUGUCGUCCAAAACUUCACUCGCUGUUGCAACCAGUGCCGCAUGUCUUCCUGACAAAACACCUGAGCAAGACUCAGAUUGAACCUGAGACUGCGUCUGCAUCUGUUUUGAAUUAGCCCUAAAACCUGCAGCAAACAUGGCAACAUUCCUUUUCAAUAAAGACUUCAUUGAAGGUGAUAGGUUAAACCUUUUAGGGCACUCAAUAUCCUUUUGCAAAGUCAUUUCCCCACUGUAUGAGAAAAAUCCAUUAACUGCAAACUCCGAUCCUCCCCCAUUUCCAAACCCCCACCCUCCAUGAAACCUACACAGCGCCGGUGCCACCACACCAAUCCCAUUAUCAACACCAUUGCUAUUAACACUCUCAACACUGCUCUGCACUGUAUUAUUCCCAUCAACAGGUGAAUUAGACAUGGGAAUUUCAAUGGUACUCGCUCUACCCACAUGAAGAUCACUCAUUAAUAAACACCACAUAGCAUCACCUUUACACAAAUGCGGCCUAACUUGCUGCAACAAACAAACCAUACCUGCAAGAGAAUACUCCUCCAAUUGCCUUAAAUCAUUAAAAACAGGAUGGCAUUCAUCUAAAUUACCAUUACUAGUACUGCUGCCACCACUCUCACAAUUGCUAUUCAAAUAAGCUAAGGAGUUAUGCAAUAUAUUAGUUAAAACAUCCAUACCACCAUAGCAAUGCCCAUUACGCAAUAUUGCGUUUAAAGAAGUAUCCUCAUCAUAGCCUAAUGCAACAAGCUUAGAAAUGGCUUCUUUAUAUAAAAAUUCAAGGUUCUUUAACAAGAUUUCUUCUAAUUGUUCUUCAGUGCAGUAACCCCAUCCGUUAUCAUCAAGAUUACCACUAGUGUUAGGGAUAGGAUUGCUGUGGGUUGAAUCUUGCAGACCCAGAUGGUAAGCCAAGGGUUUGAGACCAGAUUCAAGUAUGGAUUUGGAGAUUGAUGAGGCGUAACAGCAAGGAUCGAAUUCAGGCUUCGCUGAUCGCACCCUCCGGUUCGUACGGAUAUGCUUCUCCCUCAUAGUGCAACCCAUAAAGAUUCCGCGUAUAGAAAGAUCAAGAACCUUAUAUAGAGAUUAUAUGUAGAGAUUAUAUGGAUGUAAAUCAAGAUCAAGAAAGAUACUUACAGGUUGGGAAAGGGGAAUUUGAGGGAUUGUUUGAGUUUCGCCGAAAUUUGAUGAACAGAAGAGAAGUUACAAGAGGGCAUGCAGCUUAUAAAUCUUUGGC